UCCCAAUAGCUCAGUCGGUAGAGCAUGAGGCUCUUAAUCUCAGGGACGUGGGUUCAAGCCCCACGUUGGGUGAA
rnacentral:tRNA from 1 species